CUGAAGGCAGAUUUUUCAACCCACUGAGCCACCCAGGUGCCCCACAAGCCGCUGGAAUUUAAGAGUGGUUUGCAGUUGUAGUCAAGGUAGCCAACCGUGAGUGCUAAUGAGGUCUUGUGAUAGGUUUGUGAGUUUAAUUUUCCACAAAUGACAUUCGCAUCUCUUGAGUCCUGUGGUUUCCAGCUUAUUUAAAAACUCAGGAAUGGGUGCUGAAUCUUCUCAAAUGUCUUUUCAGUGUCUCUGGUAAUCCUAAUAUGACAUACUUCCGGAAAACCUGUCGAUGUGGUGACUUGAAUGAGUAGAUUUUAAAGUACUGAACCAUUCUUAGAGUCCUGAGACAUCUCCCUGGGUUACGGGGCCGCACUGGAGUCUCUACGUUCAGAUGCUCUGUGUGUGCUUUUCCUCCUCUUUCCUUAGUGAGAUCAGUGAUUUGACUCGUGUUUUAAUUUUCCCAAAGAUGCAACCCAUGGUCUGUUGUACCGUUUGGAACUGGAGUUUUACUUCAUGGCUUUAUAUGUAGUUUUAUAGAUAGUUCUGUGUAUAUAGAACUUUUUCAGAGGCACUUUGAAUGAAGGCACAUUCUAUAUGUUUGAAGUAUCUCCAUUGGAUCCAUUUUGAUUAUGUUAAUUUUCUUUAUUAUGUUUAUUUAGCUGGCAUAUAGUAUGCUCUUAACUGGGGUCUUCUAGGUACUAUUUUUUGCCUACUUGUUUUGACAUGGGUAUAAGGUGUUAAGAACAAAGACCUUUUGUUACCAUUCUAUAUAUCUAUUUUUCUUUGUAUUUUCUGUAGUUCCUUAUGAAGUUGGGUUCUGCUUUUAAAAAAAUCUGUGAAUAUCCACUACACUCAGAUUUUCAUUCUGGAGAAAACUGAUAUCCAUGUUUCUACCCCUACAUGCUUGCUUUUUUGAAUUUCUCUCUUUUGUAAAUAAGGUGAGUUUUCAAAAAGACUGAUUUGGAUAGGUUAUACAUUUACAUUAUUCAAGACAAGUCUCCAGUCCCCCUCCCCAACCCUUGACCCCCACUCUUGCGUAUCUGAAAAGGCGUCUUCUUUCUUGUACUAUCAUCUGACUGGUAGCACCUGCCCCCUGACCACUCUUUUUAGUUUCUUACGAACUGUUCCAGAUCAUCUUUUGCCUUUGUAAAUGGGGGAAAAUACAGAGAAGGGGUUUCCCUUUCCCCAUUUUUGUGACAUUGUCAGUAAUGAACAAGACACAUCUUUAUGUUUAUCUGGAUACCAUUUAUUGGAUAUAAUAUUCUUAACAAUGGCUUUCUCUACGGAAACAGAUGGUUACCCGUAGAACCCCAAUAUGAGAAAUGUGUACAAAAGCAACAGACUGUAACGUAAAAGGAAUGUGUAAAAAAAAAAACAACGUAGCAAAUGGAAGCGUUAUAAAUGGACAAAGCACGAUGAACGUAAGGAACCGGUUUCGUAGCUAUAAGUGUACUGUGCUAAGUGGCAUUGCAGCCAAGUGUUCAAGAUGUUUUACUUAACCGUUGCCGCACACGCUCAAACCAUGGGUCUUCCCCACAACCUCCCAAUUCGACCUGAUAGAAGGCAAAAUAGACCCAUUAGCUUCCUCGUCCUGCCUUGGACUCUUAGAGGAUUUUCCGUCUUUCCAAUUUGAUACUUUUUGUUUUUCUAUCAGUGUUUGCUUAUAGACCACGGAUAUACAUGUCAUUCUACUUCUUUGUGAAACUUAAAAAGAUCACAAGCUAUUUAUCAUUUUGUCUGGAUUUAAACUGCACUUAAAUUGAGGACUGAAUAUAUUAUUUUCUGGAAGGAGACUCCCGGGGGGAGUGUAAGACAUGUCUUUUGCAGAUGAUAUAGAAAAUCAGGAUGGGUUCCAGAAUAUUCAACCUGGAAGAGCAGAAUCCCACUGAGAAUCCCUUUCACUGUGUGGUAAAUCUCUGGGCUAUCACUACCCGUUAUUGAAUGUUGUAACAAUUUCAUAUGCAGUGUUUUGUCUCCUAGUUUUUCUCCUAUGAAACAGGCUCUCAGGGCCGGACUUGUCAGCAGCCACUGCUGUCCCAGGAGCAGAGGGGGGGUUUCCAUCCGCGUGCAGUACAGGCAACUUCAGGAUCUCGUUGUGAAAACGUCUCCCCAGUCAGACAUUUGAAGAGCGAAAGGUUGAAGGAGCCGCUGCCCAAGACCACAUUUCAUGAAUAUUUAGGAUUAAGAAUUGAUUUCCUUAUCACAUUCUGUGAUGCUCAACAGAACUCUCCAUCGUGGCCAUACGUAUCAGUACAGAUGUCUCCAUGGGAACAGCCCCUGAGCUACUAGGCAUCUGGGACCCUGAGUGGUCCCCAUCCCGCGUGUGUCUACAAUGAUGGUGUGUCAUUUCUCCACAGUGCGCCUGCCAUGACCUGGUGAGCCCGUGCACGUCUGGGGAGCAGAGCUGGGCAUGUGGGACCCCUCGGAAACGAGUUCUUCUUCUUCAAGGGCAAGACCAACACCAGCUUGCGCUGGUGCCAGUGGCCUGCAUAGGGGACGACAGGCCACGGCUUGGUGGCAUUUAAAAAGAGAGCCUUCCCCUAAUCGCGUCCGCAUAAAGUGGUGCUUUUUCUUUUGAACUAGAAAAGUAACUUUAAGACUGGCAUACGAACCACAGAGAAAUCAUUAGCAUGCUCUGCAAUCUUUCUGUAUUUCCACAGUCGGGACUGAAACCACAGCUCUGCCCCCUUGACCGGCAUUAUCUCUGGGAUUUAUGAGGCUGCUUGUGCUCUCACAGGCUGAACAUUUUUCCCAAAAGCUGUAAUGACAUCACGAACGUGUUUUCCACAUUGGAGAUGCUGAAUUAUUGAGCCCAGGGCCUGGCCAACACCCUACCUUUGGUUCCUUGGAGCUCCUACAGCAAGCUUCCUGCCAAGGGGGUAUGCGUGUCAGAAGGGUGUUUUGGCUGCGGGUGUAACCCUACCCGUGGCGGGGAGGGACGGGCGGCCAACAUGAAGCCUCUGUCUGUUUCCAGGGUAUAAAUCCUCUGGCUGCGUGAGCAGGGAGGGGCUGCCCACUGGCCCCCUUCCCUGGCAUUUGCACUAUACCAGAAAUAACUGCUUGUAACCUCUAGAACAUAGGUAACAGUAAAAGGUUUAAAAAAAAAAAAGGAGUUUUGAGUCUUUUACGUUUUUCAUGUAACUUUCAUAUAAACUCAUUAGGAGUUUAUAUAAUAGUGGCUCAG